rnacentral:rRNA from 1 species
ACUCAAAUGAAUUGACGGGGGCCCGCACAAGCGGUGGAGCAUGUGGUUUAAUUCGACGCAACGCGAAGAACCUUACCCGGGCUUGACAUCCCGCGCCAUCCUACGAAAGUAGGCUUCCCCGCAAGGGGACGCGGAGACAGGUGCUGCAUGGCUGUCGUCAGCUCGUGCCGUGAGGUGUUGGGUUAAGUCCCGCAACGAGCGCAACCCUCGCCGUGUGUUGGUCCGCAAGGAUCUCUCACGCGGGACCGCCGAUGAGAAGUCGGAGGAAGGUGGGGAUGACGUCAAGUCAGCAUGGCCCUUACGUCCGGGGCUACACACGUGCUACAAUGGGUAGGACAACGGGUUGCAAGCUAGUGAUAGUAAGCUAAUCCCUUAAACCUGCCCUCAGUUCGGAUUGAAGGCUGCAACUCGCCUUCAUGAAGUCGGAAUCGCUAGUAAACGCAGAUCAGCUACGCUGCGUUGAAUACGUUCCCGGGCCUUGUACACACCGCCCGU